ACACCUCUUAAACAGCCAAACAACCUCAGUAACAAUCUCCACGUCAAAAAGCGCAGACGUGUAAAAUAAUUGCCCUGAAGACGGUUUGCCGAUGUGCAACCGAAAUAUAUCGGAAACAAAUAUAAAAUAAAAUUGUUUUUCAUUGUUUGUUUUAACAAACACGGACCUCGAGCCAGCCAACAAAAUAUUUUGAAAUAUGGAAAGGUCGCCAGAGCCAUCAAUAAAAUAAA